rnacentral:rRNA from 1 species
GACGAACCGUACGAACGUUAUUCGGAAUUACUGGGCUUAAAGGGUGCGUAGGCUGUGCGGAAAGUUGGGCGUGAAAUACCUCAGCUUAACUGAGGAACUGCGUUCAAAACUACCGUGCUCGAGGGAGACAGAGGUAAGCGGAACUUAGGGUGGAGCGGUGAAAUGCGUUGAUAUCCUAAGGAACACCGGUGGCGAAAGCGGCUUACUGGGUCUCUUCUGACGCUGAGGCACGAAAGCUAGGGUAGCGAACGGG